GCCUCUGCUGCUGCUGCUGCUGCGGCAGCUGCUUCUGCUGCGACAGCUGCUUCUGCUGUGGCCUCCUCCAAAGCUACUGUUAAUGCUGUGGUGGCUGCUGCUGUCACUGCUGCUUUCGCAGCGGUUACUGCUACUGCUGACAUCAAAGGCAGUGAACCAACUCCUCAAAGGCACAGUGGGGCUACUAAUGACAAGGAUUUCGCACUUAAGGCAAAAGAAGAACAUGAUAAGAGAGAACCUGCCACACAUUUGAUGAAAAUGAACAGAAGUGAAAAUAAAGGCUAUUUUCCGGGAGAUUCCAUGGCAACGUUUGAGAAGUGUGCUGCAGACACAAGUGCUGAGCCACCAGUGAAGCAGAGCUGUGCUCGCCAACUCCAUCAGGACGGACAAAGCCCUGCAAAGAGCACAUCUAAAGAAAAGCACGAGGCCAAGAAGCAAAUCAACGGUGUGGAAGGCCUGGAAG
ensembl:processed_transcript Gm10044 predicted gene 10044